rnacentral:rRNA from 1 species
GACGAACGCUGGCGGCGUGCUUAACACAUGCAAGUCGAACGGAAAGGCCCUGCUUUUGUGGGGUGCUCGAGUGGCGAACGGGUGAGUAACAAGUGAGUAACCUGCCCUUGACUUUGGGAUAACUUCAGGAAACUGGGGCUAAUACCGGAUAGGAGCUCCUGCUGCAUGGGGGGGGUUGGAAAGUUUCGGCGGUUGGGGAUGGACUCGCGGCUUAUCAGCUUGUUGGUGGGGUAGUGGCUUACCAAGGCUUUGACGGGUAGCCGGCCUGAGAGGGUGACCGGCCACAUUGGGCCUGAGAUACGGCCCAGACUCCUACGGGAGGCAGCAGUGGGGAAUAUUGCACAAUGGGCGGAAGCCUGAUGCAGCAACGCCGCGUGCGGGAUGACGGCCUUCGGGUUGUAAACCGCUUUCGCCUGUGACGAAGCGUGAGUGACGGUAAUGGGUAAAGAAGCACCGGCUAACUACGUG